rnacentral:tRNA from 1 species
GAGCCCGUAGCUCAAUUUGUAGAGCGUUUGACUUCUGAUUAACGGGUCGCGGGUUCG